rnacentral:rRNA from 1 species
CCUACGGGGGGCUGCAGUGGGGAAUAUUGGACAAUGGGCGAAAGCCUGAUCCAGCCAUGCCGCGUGUGUGAAGAAGGCCUUCGGGUUGUAAAGCACUUUCAGUGGGGAAGAAACCCUUGGGGCUAAUACCCUCGAGGAAGGACAUCACCCACAGAAGAAGCACCGGCUAACUCCGUGCCAGCAGCCGCGGUAAUACGGAGGGUGCGAGCGUUAAUCGGAAUUACUGGGCGUAAAGCGCGCGUAGGCGGUCUGAUAAGCCGGUUGUGAAAGCCCCGGGCUCAACCUGGGAACGGCAUCCGGAACUGUCAGGCUAGAGUGCAGGAGAGGAAGGUAGAAUUCCCGGUGUAGCGGUGAAAUGCGGAGAGAUCGGGAGGAAUACCAGUGGCGAAGGCGGCCUUCUGGACUGACACUGACGCUGAGGUGCGAAAGCGUGGGUAGCAAACAGGAUUAGAUACCCCGGUAGUC